GAUGAACGCUGACAGAAUGCUUAACACAUGCAAGUCUACUUGAAUUUGGGUCCUAGACUUAGAUUUGGGUGGCGGACGGGUGAGUAACGCGUAAAGAACUUGCCUCACAGUUAGGGACAACAUUUGGAAACGAAUGCUAAUACCUGAUAUUAUGAUUAUACGGCAUCGUAUAAUUAUGAAAGCUAUAUGCGCUGUGAGAGAGCUUUGCGUCCCAUUAGCUAGUUGGAGAGGUAACGGCUCACCAAGGCGAUGAUGGGUAGCCGGCCUGAGAGGGUGAACGGCCACAAGGGGACUGAGACACGGCCCUUACUCCUACGGGAGGCAGCAGUGGGGAAUAUUGGACAAUGGACCAAAAGUCUGAUCCAGCAAUUCUGUGUGCACGAUGACGUUUUUCGGAAUGUAAAGUGCUUUCAGUUGGGAAGAAAAAAAUGACGGUACCAACAGAAGAAG
rnacentral:rRNA from 1 species